UACGGGGGGGGCAAGCGUUGUUCGGAAUUACUGGGCGUAAAGGCUCGUAGGCGGCCAACUAAGUCAGACGUGAAAUCCCUCGGCUUAACCGGGGAACUGCAUCUGAUACUGGAUGGCUUGAGUUCGGGAGAGGGAUGCGGAAUUCCAGGUGUAGCGGUGAAAUGCGUAGAUAUCUGGAGGAACACCGGGUGGCGAAGGCGGCAUCCUGGACCGGACACUGACGCUGAGGAGCGAAGCGUGGGAGCGAACAGG
rnacentral:rRNA from 1 species